UACCAAGGCAACGAUCAGUAGCCGACCUGAGAGGGUGAUCGGCCACAUUGGAACUGAGACACGGUCCAAACUCCUACGGGAGGCAGCAGUGGGGAAUAUUGCACAAUGGGCGAAAGCCUGAUGCAGCCACGCCGCGUGAGUGAUGAAGGCCUUCGGGUCGUAAAACUCUGUCCUCAAGGAAGAUAAUGACGGUACUUGAGGAGGAAGCCCCGGCUAACUACGUGCCAGCAGCCGCGGUAAUACGUAGGGGGCUAG
rnacentral:rRNA from 1 species